rnacentral:tRNA from 1 species
CAUUGAAUGGCUGAAAAAAAGUGAUGGUCUCUUAAACCAAUUUAUAGUUUAAUUUAACUUUCAAUGA